rnacentral:rRNA from 1 species
CCGCGGUAAUACGGAGGGUGCAAGCGUUAAUCGGAAUUACUGGGCGUAAAGCGCACGCAGGCGGUUUGUUAAGUCAGAUGUGAAAUCCCCGGGCUCAACCUGGGAACUGCAUCUGAUACUGGCAAGCUUGAGUCUCGUAGAGGGGGGUAGAAUUCCAGGUGUAGCGGUGAAAUGCGUAGAGAUCUGGAGGAAUACCGGUGGCGAAGGCGGCCCCCUGGACGAAGACUGACGCUCAGGUGCGAAAGCGUGGGGAGCAAACAGGAUUAGAUACCCUGGUAGUCCACGCCGUAAACGAUGUCGACUUGGAGGUUGUGCCCUUGAGGCGUGGCUUCCGGAGCUAACGCGUUAAGUCGACCGCCUGGGGAGUACGGCCGCAAGGUUAAAACUCAAAUGAAUUGACGGGGGCCCGCACAAGCGGUGGAGCAUGUGGUUUAAUUCGAUGCAACGCGAAGAACCUUACCUGGUCUUGACAUCCACGGAAGUUUUCAGAGAUGAGAAUGUGCCUUCGGGAACCGUGAGACAGGUGCUGCAUGGCUGUCGUCAGCUCGUGUUGUGAAAUGUUGGGUUAAGUCCCGCAACGAGCGCAACCCUUAUCCUUUGUUGCCAGCGGUCCGGCCGGGAACUCAAAGGAGACUGCCAGUGAUAAACUGGAGGAAGGUGGGGAUGACGUCAAGUCAUCAUGGCCCUUACGACCAGGGCUACACACGUGCUACAAUGGCGCAUACAAAGAGAAGCGACCUCGCGAGAGCAAGCGGACCUCAUAAAGUGCGUCGUAGUCCGGAUUGGAGUCUGCAACUCGACUCCAUGAAGUCGGAAUCGCUAGUAAUCGUGGAUCAGAAUGCCACGGUGAAUACGUUCCCGGGCCUUGUACACACCGCCCGUCACACCAUGGGAGUGGGUUGCAAAAGAAGUAGGUAGCUUAACCUUCGGGAGGGCGCUUACCACUUUGUGAUUCAUGACUGGGGUGAAGUCGUAACAAGGUAACCGUAGGGGAACCUGCGGUUGGAUCACCUCCUUACCUUAAAGAAGC